GGCCUUCUGGCGGAAUUGGUAGACGCGCUUGACUCAAAAUCAAGUGUGCUUUGCACGUCCCGGUUCGAGUCCGGGGAAGGCCACCA
rnacentral:tRNA from 1 species